UGAGACCGGCGCACGGGUGCGUAACGCGUAUGCAAUCUACCUUUCACAGAGGGAUAGCCCAGAGAAAUUUGGAUUAAUACCUCAUAGUAUAGCAGUCUCGCAUGAGACCACUAUUAAAGAUUUAUCGGUGAAAGAUGAGCAUGCGUCCCAUUAGCUAGUUGGUAUGGUAACGGCAUACCAAGGCUACGAUGGGUAGGGGUCCUGAGAGGGAGAUCCCCCACACUGGUACUGAGACACGGACCAGACUCCUACGGGAGGCAGCAGUGAGGAAUAUUGGACAAUGGGCGCAAGCCUGAUCCAGCCAUGCCGCGUGCAGGAUGACGGUCCUAUGGAUUGUAAACUGCUUUUAUACAGGAAGAAACACCUCUACGUGUAGAGACUUGACGGUACUGUAAGAAUAAGGAUCGGCUAACUCCGUGCCAGCAGCCGCGGUAAUACGGAGGAUCCAAGCGUUAUCCGGAAUCAUUGGGUUUAAAGGGUCCGUAGGCGGUUUAGUAAGUCAGUGGUGAAAGCCCAUCGCUCAACGGUGGAACGGCCAUUGAUACUGCUAGACUUGAAUUAUUAGGAAGUAACUAGAAUAUGUAGUGUAGCGGUGAAAUGCUUAGAGAUUACAUGGAAUACCAAUUGCGAAGGCAGGUUACUACUAAUAUAUUGACGCUGAUGGACGAAAGCGUGGGUAGCGAACAGGAUUAGAUACCCUGGUAGUCCACGCCGUAAACGAUGGAUACUAGCUGUUGGGAGCAAUCUCAGUGGCUA
rnacentral:rRNA from 1 species